AGUUCAUUGUUCACUUUGUGGAAAACCUGGCCUUUCCACCUCCAAAAUCUCAUUCUCUCUCGGACUCCCACACUCUCCCAACAAUUAUUCUCUCUACUUCUUCUUCCAAGGUGCUAGAGCUCAGACAUCUAGCUACUUAAAAUUCUAAGGAAUAGAAAGAAGCCUCUGCAGUGGUGUGUCUGUUGCUCGUCAGUGUUUAAUAGAAAAGAACACGUGAAGAGUGGAGGAAUAUCAAGGGAUAGAAUCAAAUUAUCUAUUCGCAUUGCUUGAGACAUGAACUUUGGAAACCACCACCUUUCCAUUUUUAAUUCCAUGUGAUACAAAAAGUGGAAUUUAAUGUUACUAUGUUUUGUAAAAUUAUGCACAUGUCGGUUUUUUUACAAAAAUGAACCGAACUUUGGAAGUCAUAGUAGAUUCUUACCAAUGUUUGAUUUCUGUCAAAGUCCUUCAAUAACUCUUUACCAAUGUAGAAUUCUGACAAUCAAAUAAAAUUUUUAGUACUGAUCAAAUACUACAUGUAAUACUUACCAAUCCAA